AGUGAACGCUGGCGGUAGGCCUAACACAUGCAAGUCGAACGGCAGCACAGUAAGAGCUCGCUCUUACGGGUGGCGAGUGGCGGACGGGUGAGGAAUACAUCGGAAUCUACUUUUUCGUGGGGGAUAACGUAGGGAAACUUACGCUAAUACCGCAUACGACCUACGGGUGAAAGCAGGGGAUCUUCGGACCUUGCGCGAUUGAAUGAGCCGAUGUCGGAUUAGCUAGUUGGCGGGGUAAAGGCCCACCAAGGCGACGAUGCGUAGCUGGUCUGAGAGGAUGAUCAGCCACACUGGAACUGAGACACGGUCCAGACUCCUACGGGAGGCAGCAGUGGGGAAUAUUGGACAAUGGGCGCAAGCCUGAUCCAGCCAUACCGCGUGAGUGAAGAAGGCCUUCGGGUUGUAAAGCCCUUUUGUUGGGAAAGAAAAGCAGCAGGUUAAUACCCCGCUGUUCUGACGGUACCCAAAGAAUAAGCACCGGCUAACUUCGUG
rnacentral:rRNA from 1 species